GGCUGGUUGGGCUCCCUCUACGGUGGUGACAUCACAUCACAUGCAACAGGCUUCAUUGAUAUCGGAGUUGUGUUCAAUAGGCACGAAACUAAAGAAAAUGGUUUGAAAUGGGGAGGUACUACAAUAUCUGAACUUGCCCAAUAAGAAAUGUUAGUUUUUGCUUUCAGUUUCAAGACAUUUUGCUACGGUGUGCCCUAAUGAACAUGACCCAUGUUUAUACAAACAAGCCUUUGUCCUCCUAUUUAAAAAAAAAAAAAAAAAAAGUUUAUUGUAUUGUUACCGUGGUGAUAAACUGUAGUGAGGUGUUUUAAACAGACAAAUAACCUUGGGGUGCUCUCUGUAAAACACUGAUCAAUGAAACUCUGGAUGUAUUGGCCUAUUAGAGGUUUUGAAGCCACCGGUCAGACAUAUUGGUAGUCCUCAGAAGAAGCAGUCCUCCAUAGGAAUGAAUGGAAUUAUAUGUAUUUUGGGAACGGGCAGAAAGCCAAAUAAUGCUUAGAUUUUUUUUAUGUUCAAAAGCUUGAAUAAGUAGCUACUGGUUAUCCAAUGUGAUGCAACAGUAACAAUAUUGCACCUUUAGCUUUAGCUGAGAACCCCUCUAUUCGUUGAUUUUAAUUUUACUGUCGGGUUGUAUUUUGUGCUGCUCUUAAUGAGGGACUUGUUUCCGCCUGUGAGGAGGCGUUGCUACAGUUCAGGGAUAUUCUAACGGGUAGUGGUAUGAUGGCUAGCUAGCUGAGCCCUUGUGCACACUUGGCUAGCAGAGAUAGCUAGCUUACAGACCUGAAGGACAAACAACCUGACCCAGCAGAAGCUGCUACUCCAUCUAAGCCAAAGAAACUGAACUUUGGAGAGCUGACAGGAGAAAAUGGAAAACGAUAGAGCCCGGGCCAACAUUUGCGUUCACACAGUGGAGAGAACAAUGAGAGUUGAAGGGAUUCAAAACUGACAGUUUCCAUUUUUUCAACUGAAAAGGUAAGACAUUGUUAGGUAGAUAAUAAUCUUUCUAGAUAUCAAGUGAAAUGGUUUUGAUAUUUAGUUAUAAAUAUGUAUGCAAGUGUUUAUUUUGGAUGACUUAUUUUGAUUGUUGUUUUCAAGCCACGCAUCCAAUAGUUUGUAAAAUCAGCAAAAAAAGAAACAUCCCUUUUUCAGGACCCUGUCUUUCAAAGAUAAUUCGUAAAAAUCCAAAUAACUUAACAGAUCUUCAUUGUAAAGGGUUUAAACACUGUUUCCCAUGCUUGUUCAAUGAAACGUAAACGGAAGGCAAUUAAGGUCCUUGGGACACUAAAGAGCCUUUCUACUGAAAAACACCAAAAGAAAGAUGCCCAGGGUCCAUACUGUGAGACGCAUAAGAGAGCGCUACAGGGAGACAGGACGGACAGCUGAUCGUCCUUGCAGUUGCAGACCACGUGUAACAACACCUGCACAGGAUCGGUACAUCCGAACAUCGCACCUGCGGGACAGAUACAGGAUGGCAACAAAAACCUGCCCGAGUUACACCAGGAAUGCACAAUUCCUCCAUCAGUGCUUAGACUGUCCGCAAUAGGUUGAAAGAGGCUGGACUGAGGGUUUGUAGGCCUAUUGUAAGGCAGGUCCUCACCAGACAUCACCGGCAACGUCGCCUAUGGGCACAAACCCACCGUUGCUGGACCAUACAGGACUGGCAAAAAGUGCUCUUCGGUUUUGUCUCACCAGGGGUGAUGGUCGGAUUCACGUUUAUCGUCAAAGGAAUGAGCGUUACACAGAGGCCUGUACUCUGGAGCGGGAUCGAUUUGGAGGUGGAGGGUCCGUCAUGGUCUGGGGUGGUGUGUCACAGCAUCAUUGUCAUUGCAGGCAAUGUCAACACUGCAUUACAGGGAAGACAUCCUCCCCCCUCAUGUGGUACCGUUCCUGCAGGCUCAUCCUGACAUGACCCUCCAGCAUGACAAUGCCACCAGCCAUACUGCUCGUUCUGUGCAUGAUAUCCUGCAAGACAGGAAUGUCAGUAUUCUGCCAUGGCCAGUGAAGAGCCCGGAUCUCAAUCCCAUUGAGCAAGUCUGGGACCUGUUGGAUCGGAGGGUCAGGGCUAGGGCCAUUCCCCCCAGAAAUGUCCGGGAACUUGCAGGUGCCUUGGUGGAAGAGUGGGGUAACAUCUCACAGCAAGAACUGGCAAAUCUGGUGUAGUCUAUGAAGAGGAGAUGCACUGCAGUACUUAAUGCAGCUGGUGACCACACCAGAUACUGACUGUUACUUUUGAUUUUGCCCCCUUUUUUUUGUUCAGGGACACAUUAUUUAAUUUCUGUUAGUCACACGUCUGUGGAACUUGUUCAGUUUAUGUUUCAGUUGUUGAAUCUUGUUAUGUUCAUACAAAUAUUUAGUUUGCUGAAGAUAAGCGCAGUUGACAGUGAGCGGAUGUUACUUUGUUUAUUAGCUUUUGCAGCUAAUUAUUAGCUGACUUUGACAUUGUUUUUUUUUCAUUUGAAUAUAACAUUUAGCUUCACUAGUUAGUCCUAACUAGCUACCUAAUUUAUGUGUGUAACGUUGCUUGACCUUGUUAUAUUUCUGUGGUCUGAAAUUCACGCUGUGAUAUUAGCUAGCUAGCUAUUUUACACACUACUUUGCUGGCAUGGAGUAGCCAUGAUUAUAAAGUUAAUUUCAGAUACACAAAAUGAGACACAAUGCAACGUUUUUUUUUGAUCGGAAGGGUCUAGUUUUAGAACCUGUCAUUUCAUCAGCUGGAUUUUCCAAGAUUCAUUGACGAAACGGUGUCAACUUCACGUCUCUUCUUCUUGAUCUGAAUGCCCUGUCUUUAGUCAGCUGUUGUACAACACAACAUUCUAAAACUAGCUAAUUUUGUCUCCUGUUUGCUGUUGUAUCUGAACUGGACUUCAUUGCUUGACGUCAAAGCUCUUGAAAAUAUAUUUAAACCUGAAAUAUUAUUUUUCAGUCAUGAAAGGAAUAAAUUGCCAUCAACACCAAGCAAGACUGUUUCCAGCCCCAUCAUCGUUGAGUAUUGAAUCAGAUCGCUAAAGGAGACUACAAUAAGUCUUGAAGGUGGAGUGUCUACGCAUUGAAAAUUGCACAGGACUACACCUACAUCCUUGAGCUUCAGGGAGCAGUGUUGAGAACACUGGGUUCUCAAUUGUGGAUACCAAGGGGAAUGAUACUGAGAUCAGAUGAGCCAAGACUCCCUGAAGUGCCACCACCAACAACGGAUGACCUGCUACAACUUAGAGGAGACGUUGACCUGCAACACAGGAUGCAGUUAGCACAGCUUUGAGCGGGGAAGGACCUGAGCUAUCAGUUAGUCAGACUUGGUCGUUCCCGGGAGGUGUGAAAACCUAUGGAGUACUCAGAAAUGUUGUUCAAAGAGUUGGGACUACAACCAAACAUAUAUAAAUAAGGGAUGUUAGUGUGGGCAACAAACUUGUGUGAGAAACAACAUUUGUGCAUUCUUUAUCUUGCAAAUUGGUGUCAUUAUUGUAUUUCUGGAAUGGUUUUAGAAUGAUUUACUUAACUGUUCUGUUUUCCUGGAUAUCUAUGCUCUUGUCGGUUUUCACUUCAAAUUAGCAGACCCACAGGUGGGUAGAUAUCCAGAAAGAUGGCUGGACCACAGUGGUGUAAAUACAGUACAAAACAAAUCAGUCUGAUUACACAGAUCAGGUCAAUUAAAGUUUAAUUAGGGAAAUGAACAAAAAUACAAGGUAGUAUCUUUAAACUUCUUGAAAUAACAAAGGCACUGUGUCAUGAAAAACCUUCUGAUAAAGUACUGAACUGAUGUCACCCAGACCAAGGACAAAAUUAAAAAAUGACGUCUAAAAAUGUCACCAAAUUGAGUAUUUUUCUUAAUUGGGAUCCAAGUGAAGAAUAAAGUACAGUGUUGUCAUGGAAAGUGUUCAACUAUUAUGUAAACAUACUUGGUAAUAAAUAACUGAAACAUUU